rnacentral:rRNA from 1 species
CACGUAGGAUCCGAGCGUUAUCCGAAUUUACUGGGCGUAAAGCGCUUGCAGGCGGUUUGGUAAGUUGGAUGUGAAAGCUCCCGGCUCAACUGGGAGAGGUCGUUCAAAACUACCAGACUGGAGGGUGGUAGAGGGAGGUGGAAUUCCCGGUGUAGUAGUGAAAUGCGUAGAUAUCGGGAGGAACACCAGAGGCGAAGGCGGCCUCCUGGACCAUACCUGACGCUAAGAAGCGAAAGCUAGGGGAGCGAAUGGG